UACGGAGGGUGCAAGCGUUGUCCGGAUUUAUUGGGUUUAAAGGGUGCGUAGGCGGCCCGUUAAGUCAGCGGUGAAAUCCCGGGGCUCAACCCCGGAACUGCCGUUGAUACUGGCGGGCUUGAGUUCGGUCGAGGCGGGCGGAACUGGCGGUGUAGCGGUGAAAUGCUUAGAUAUCUUCAAGAACACCGAUUGCGUAGGCAGCUCGCUGUGCCGAAACUGACGCUGAGGCACGAAAGCGUGGGGAGCGAACAGG
rnacentral:rRNA from 1 species